rnacentral:rRNA from 1 species
UGCGGAGGGUGCAAGCGUUAUCCGGAUUCACUGGGUUUAAAGGGCGCGUAGGUGGGCAGGUAAGUCAGGGGUGAAAUCUCCGAGCUUAACUCGGAAACUGCCGUUGAUACUAUUUGUCUUGAAUAUUGUGGAGGUAAGCGGAAUAUGUCAUGUAGCGGUGAAAUGCUUAGAUAUGACAUAGAACACCAAUUGCGAAGGCAGCUUACUACACAACGAUUGACGCUGAGGCACGAAAGCGUGGGGAUCAAACAGG